rnacentral:rRNA from 1 species
UACGUAGGUGGCAAGCGUUGUCCGGAUUUACUGGGCGUAAAGAGCGCGCAGGCGGUCGGAUCAGUCGAAUGUGAAAGCCCCCCGGCUCAACUGGGGAGGGUCAUUCGAUACUGUCCGACUCGAAGGCAGGAGAGGGAAGCGGAAUUCCAGGUGUAGCGGUGAAAUGCGUAGAUAUCUGGAGGAACACCGGUGGCGAAGGCGACGCCUGGACCGGCAUUGACGCUGAGGCGCGAAAGCCAGGGGAGCAAAGCGGG